UGGGGAAUUUUGGACAAUGGGCGCAAGCCUGAUCCAGCCAUGCCGCGUGAGUGACGAAGGUCUUCGGAUUGUAAAACUCUUUUGGCGGGGACGAUAAUGACGGUACCCGCAGAAUAAGCCCCGGCUAACUUCGUGCCAGCAGCCGCGGUAAUACGAAGGGGGCUAGCGUUGUUCGGAAUCACUGGGCGUAAAGCGCACGUAGGCGGAUGUGCCAGUCAGGGGUGAAAUCCCGGAGCUCAACUCCGGAACUGCCUCUGAUACUGCACGUCUUGAGUUCGAGAGAGGUGGGUGGAAUUCCUAGUGUAGAGGUGAAAUUCGUAGAUAUUAGGAAGAACACCGGUGGCGAAGGCGGCCCACUGGCUCGAUACUGACGCUGAGGUGCGAAAGCGUGGGGAGCAAACAGGAUUAGAUACCCUUGUAGUCCCUGAGCGGGCUGGCAAGGCGCAU
rnacentral:rRNA from 1 species